UCUGCUGAUUUAAAUUGAUGGUCUGACAGAAAUAUUGUUGUGCGGAUUUACACUAAAACACGAAAGAGCCUGAACCGCGACAGUGUCACAAGUUGCCUUACAUCCAUAAGUUUUGUUGUGCUUGUUGCAAACUGUUAAAUUUUGUGUUUUCUGAUCCUAAGCUUAGAAAAAAAGAUGCAAGACUUCAAACUUUCCAGUACUCCUGUGUACUGAUAAUCCGGUUUCCACCCAGUCCCAGGAGAUUAUAUUAAACCUGGAAAAUAUUGGAGAAGAUCAAUUAAGUUUUCAGGAGCACAUUACUGUGAUAAAUGCUGAGCUAUGUAAAAGACAACCUGCUACACCAACAUAUCAAAAAUCGAAUGAGAUGCGCUCUUGUUAAAAGAGUUGAUUUAAUGACAAAAUCAACAUGAGAGGUCAUGGACAUGUUCCCAUUUCUUCGGGUUCCACAAAUUCUGCUGCAUGAAGUGAAGAUGCGGUUUGGGAAGGACCUUCAUCUCAAUCUACAGACUGCUCUUCAAGUUAAAUUAAAUUAAAUUAAAUUCAUGCAUUUAGCAGACGCG